ACAAUAACAUUUAGCUAUUUUAUGUGUAUAUAAUCACAACCAUGUGUGUCAACCGAAACACCCCAACAAACGCGGUUUCUUCAACAUACAUGUUAAUUACCUGGUCAUUAGGCAUAAUAAGAUCAUCGAUAAGCAAUACAAAAUUCUAAUUUGAAUUUACAACGCAUAUUUUAGUACAGAACGUCAAAUAGAACAAAUCUCAGAAUGUUUAAGCUGCUGCUAUUCGUGUUGUUUAGCUUCAUAUAUUGCAAUGGUGUAUAUUUAAAAAUAAAAAAGGCUGAGUGCAAUGGAAAUAAAAAAUAUUUUGCGAAUAUAUCAUGUGUUCUUAAACCAAUCAAUUGGACAAGAUCAAUACUUAACAUUGAUGGUGAUAUUAUUGGAGAACUUACAAAUGCUCAUUUGCUUGCGGAGAUAUUUUUAUCGCGAUAGCAGCAAUUUGUAUAAACCAUUAAUUACACAACUGCAGUACAACAUUUGCGAUCUUCUCCGCAAAUCGAAUGCCAGGAAUUUUUUAGAGAAAUAUGCGAUGGAACAUUUUAGAAUAUAUACCAAUUUAAAUCAUACUUGUCCAUUUUCGGGACAUUUAUACGCCCGUAAUUUUACAUUAGAUGAAGUUUCCAUUCCUCCGCUACCACUUCAGGAAUAUAAACUGUCUAUUAAGUUUACUCAAACUAAUCCAUCGGCCUUUUUAGGCUCCGUGUUACUUUAUUUUGAUGCCACCGAGGUCUAUCACAAAAAGAGGCCUCAUCGGAAUUAAUUAUAUUCUUGACUUAAUUUGUUUCAUAAUAUAAACAAUAAAAAAGCUAACUAAUUUG